rnacentral:rRNA from 1 species
GAUCCUGGCUCAGGAUGAACGCUAACUACAGGCUUAACACAUGCAAGUCGAGGGGCGAGCGGGAAGUCAGCUUGCUGACUUUGCCGGCGACCGGCGCACGGGUGAGUAACACGUAUCCAACCUUCCCGUUACUCUGGAAUAGCCUUUCGAAAGAAGAUUAAUACCGGAUAGUAUCGAGAGAUUGCAUGAUUACCCGAUUAAAGAUUCAUCGGUAACGGAUGGGGAUGCGUUCCAUUAGGCAGUUGGG